ensembl:lncRNA
GGGGACGGGAGUGGGGGAACUCUCCCCCUUCGAUUUGAGAGUGGCCGCUUUGAUCGGUGACACGGCUCUCACCGGAGUGGUGGGAGCCCAUGAAGGGGACACCGAUCAUCCCCAAGUUUCCCAGCGUCACCUCUAAGUGUCGCCAAAGGAACAAUAGCUGUAGAAACGUGCGUACGACAGCUCUGGAGCUGGCGUGGGGACCGCACAUUUUUGCGGUCAUUUCACGUUUUGUACAUCUGAACGUGAGCGUGGAAAAGGACGUACGCCACGUUUUUGUGCGUACGAACUUUAGUACAUGAGGCCCCUGGUAUUUUGCCACAGAGGCUACUUUUGACUUCAGUAUUGCUGAAAAUGCUGGCAAAAGUGGAAUAUGGGGGAGUCCAAAAAUACAUUAAAGUUCCUCAAACUGAUGACAAUUUCCAUUUCCUCCAGUUUCUUCAAGAAGCAACAGACAAAUUUAGUCUGCAGGCUCAACAUCUAUCCGAGGGUGUGUUAGCCUUGACUGAUGCAUCAGAUACCGAGGUUGAUGCAGACACAUUUGAUGAGCUGAUAAAGUCAGGGUUCCGAAACUUCAAGGUUGGAUACCGCAAGUACCCAGUAACGGAGUUGGACAUUGAAUUGGUGGAAUACAACUCGCAGUCCUCCGUAUUGUCAGACUCCACAGCAUCACCAGUUUCAUUGCCAGGACCCCCCGCAUCACCAGCUUCUACAAGUUCAGGUUCGACAAUCAUCCUCCCAUCCACUAAAAACCGGAAGAGAGGCCUGGUAGAGCUGGAACGUAAUGAAGCAAGACAGAAAGUUGAUACUAUUCUGAGGUCCAACCCGAAAGGUGAAGAAAUCUUCAAAGAAUAUGACAAAACUAAGACGCUGUCAGACACGACACGCAGACAUAUGAUCAACAUUCUGGUUGCAGAAAUGACAGAUUCACAUGGGAGGAUUCCCCCCAGAAGUGUCAGGACUAGUUAUGCACUCGGAAUUGUGACCCUUUUCCCAUAUCUACAAGAUCCGUACUCAGAGCAUGGAUAUGAACAUUACUAUGACCCUGAGGCGAAUACUGGCUAUCUUGCUUGGAGACUCAAGACAGUCCAACGCAACACGCACGAUGGCCUCCGUGGGCAUUCCAGGCCCAAUCCCCAGGGCAGUCCAACAACCCAACGAGAAUCUUUGUUGAUUGCUGAACAGCUCAAGGAUGAGGAGUGCAGAGAGGCCGUGUCUGUAAUAAGACACUCCACAGAUGAAUCCGUGGUCAAAGAGAAGAUGAGAGCCACCUUCGAAUACAG